rnacentral:rRNA from 1 species
GUCGAGAAUCUUUCACAAUGGGGGCAACCCUGAUGGAGCGACGCCGCGUGGAGGAUAAGGUCUUCGGAUUGUAAACUCCUGUCAUGCGUGAACAAGGUUGCUUGGAUAAUACCUGAGCAAAUUGAUGGUAGCGCAAGAGGAAGAGACGGCUAACUCUGUGCCAGCAGCCGCGGUAAUACAGAGGUCUCAAGCGUUGUUCGGAAUCACUGGGCGUAAAGGGUGCGUAGGUGGCGUGGCAAGUCAGAUGUGAAAGCCCGGGGCUCAACCUCGGAACUGCAUCCGAUACUGCCAUGCUAGAGUACUGGAGAGGUGACUAGAAUUCUCGGUGUAGCAGUGAAAUGCGUAGAUAUCGAGGAAUACCAAAGGCGUAGGCAGGUCACUGGACAGUUACUGACACUGAGGCACGAAGGCCAGGGGAGCGAACGGGAUUAGAUACCCUGGUAGUCC